GCAUGCAGAUCCAUUUUCUGCCACCGAAUACAUUAGCAUGGGAUAAUGGAAUAGGACCCUGUCCUCCUAUUUUCAGUUGGUUUUGGCAGCGCGAGGACUAGGGUAAUGAUUAAUAGGGAUAGUUGGGGGCAUUAAUAUUUAAUUGUCAGAGGUGAAAUUCUUGGAUUUAUGAAAGAUUAACUUCUGCGAAAGCAUCUGCCAAGGAUGUUUUCAUUAAUCAAGAACGAAAGUUAGGGGAUCGAAGACGAUCAGAUACCGUCGUAGUCUUAACCAUAAACGAUGCCGACCAGCGAUUAGGAGACGUUGAAUACAAAACACCACCAUCGGUGCGGUCGUCCUUGGCGUCGGUUUCGGCCGGCGCGGGGGCGGCUUAGCCCGGUGGCACCGGUGAAUGACUCCCCUAGCAGCUUGUGAGAA
rnacentral:rRNA from 1 species